AGAUAGGAAAAGGAUACUUUUCAAAAGCUAAAAGCUUCCCAGUUUUAAAACAAAGAUGGGAGGGAAAGAGAAGACGUGAUUCUGAAAAGAGAUCUGGCUCCUCGCACCCCCCGCACCACCACCCUCCCUAUGUCCCACACACGCAUUCCAAGCUGUUUUGCCCUCUCUGUCCCGGUCUCAGCUGAUAACGAGGCCGAAGACCUUUUAAUGUUAACGCACAAACACCGGAACGAGACGCACCUCUACCUGCCGCGGUGAGAUACGCGGCGGCGACGGAGCGAGGGAACAACAAGCCGCCUGUUCGCCCCCCCCCCGCACUGUUGCUUCAGGUGUGCGUUGGGCAGGAGCGCGCGUGGAGGCUGCUGCUGCCGCUGCUGAAGGCCACAGCUGGAAGCCUGUGGGCCCGCGUUCGUUAGAAAGAGACUUCUAUCCCAUAAUAAGAAACGGCAGUGAAUUGGCACAGAUCUUCCCACUCAUCUGCAAACGGGGAGAAGAAAGCUGAGGACUUUGGAACCUUUCCUCCACCGCGUCUCUCCAGGCCCUGGACAGGAGGACACCCCGGGCCUCCGCUGGCAGCGGUCAACUGCUCACUUCCUCUGCUUCUUAUUCGUUGAUUUAGACUAAUAUUUGGAUAGGGUACGGUUUUAUACGUGGAGCGCGCCGCCUGCGUCGCUGCAGCUUCAGUCACGCAACACGAAUGUAAAAGCCGUCGUCUUUUUAUGAUCAGAUGAAUGAUUUGUGAUUUAUUGACUAUCUGUUAAAUGAUACGCGGGCGUAAUUAAUAGUUGUGUCUGGCUGACUGCGGCACAGACACGCUCAAUGGAUUCAAAUCUCCACAACACAAGCGAAAAAUGGAUUUUAUGCGGUUUUAUAGCCUUCGGUGAGGUUGCAGUGAGGGAGAGGAGCAUACGUGGAAAGAGAUGAAGCACAGCGGCUGCAGGUCCCGCUGCCCUGACCUGAUCACGUCUCUUUUUAAUAACAGCCCAAGACACUAAAAAAGCUGCUGCAUCGCCGUUUGCGAGAUUUGUGAUUUUAAUGAGGCAUGGGCGGGAAAUAUUGGGUUUGGUGAUUUGUCAUUUUACCACAACAGGACCUCACAGAGCUCGCGUAAGGAACUGAAGCCUCUCCUUCUCCGUGACAUAAACAACUGGAGGAAAACCAACAAGGUGGAAGAAUCUGCGCUUUGUGUGACGUGGUGGUUGUCGAAAUGUGUCUUCUAAAGUAGAAUGUCACUAAACGAAACAAACACAUAAUGUACAAGUGUUACGCAAAACUGUUUAUGCAGUUAUUCAGGUGCGCAAAAGCGCGUGCCAGCUGAGCCACUCUGUCGUUCCAGGUCGUCCCCGUGUAGCAGCCUGUCAGUAAACGUCUCACCGGACGGAACGUAGCGCACAAACGCUAACCGAUUAAAAGGGGGACGUUCCGCAAGCGCAAAACAGUCUCCGUUAAAGAGUUGCAAAAACACAUAAUACACAUGUAUACACAUAAAACACAACAUUUGA
rnacentral:lncRNA from 1 species